GCGCCGAUGGUUUAGUGGUAAAAUUCUCCGUUGCCAUCGAGCAGCGUCGGGGAGCCGGGGGUUCGAUUCCCCCUCGGCGCA
rfam:Colletotrichum incanum strain MAFF 238704 contig632, whole genome shotgun sequence.